GCAGCAGGCGCGCAAAUUACCCACUCCCGGCACGGGGAGGUAGUGACGAAAAAUAACGAUACGGGACUCAUCCGAGGCCCCGUAAUCGGAAUGAGAACACUCUAAACCCUUUAACGAGGAUCAAUUGGAGGGCAAGUCUGGUGCCAGCAGCCGCGGUAAUUCCAGCUCCAAUAGCGUAUAUUAAAGUUGUUGCGGUUAAAAAGCUCGUAGUCGAAUUUGUGUCUCGCGCCGCCGGUUCAUCGUUCGCGGUGUUACUGGCGUGCCGCGAGACGUCCUGCCGGCGGGCUUAGCUCGCAAGAGCGGCCCAACUCAAUCCCGCCGCGGUGCUCUUCACUGAGUGUCGAGGUGGGCCGGCACGUUUACUUUGAACAAAUUAGAGUGCUUAAAGCAGGCUAAAACUUCGCCUGAAUACUGUGUGCAUGGAAUAAUGAAACAGGACCUCGGUUCUAUUUUGUUGGUUUUCGGAACCCCGAGGUAAUGAUUAACAGGAACGGAUGGGGGCAUUCGUAUUGCGACGUUAGAGGUGAAAUUCUUGGAUCGUCGCAAGACGGACAGAAGCGAAAGCAUUUGCCAAAAACGUUUUCAUUGAUCAAGAACGAAAGUUAGAGGUUCGAAGGCGAUCAGAUACCGCCCUAGUUCUAACCAUAAACGAUGCCAGCUAGCGAUCCGCCGACGUUCCUCCGAUGACUCGGCGGGCAGCUUCCGGGAAACCAAAGCUUUUGGGUUCCGGGGGAAGUAUGGUUGCAAAGCUGAAACUUAAAGGAAUUGACGGAAGGGCACCACCAGGAGUGGAGCCUGCGGCUUAAUUUGACUCAACACGGGAAACCUCACCAGGCCCGGACACCGGAAGGAUUGACAGAUUGAGAGCUCUUUCUUGAUUCGGUGGGUGGUGGUGCAUGGCCGU
rnacentral:rRNA from 1 species